rnacentral:rRNA from 1 species
GACGUGGAGGGCCAGCGUUGCUCGGAAUUACUGGGCGUAAAGGGUUCGUAGGCGGUGCGGCAAGUCGGGAGUGAAAUCUCUGGGCUUAACUCAGGGGCUGCUUCCGAAACUGCCGUGCUUGAGUGCGGGAGAGGCGAGUGGAAUUGCAGGUGUAGCGGUGAAAUGCGUAGAUAUCUGCAGGAACACCCGUGGCGAAGGCGGCUCGCUGGACCGCAACUGACGCUGAGGAACGAAAGCUAGGGGAGCAAACAGG